CCUUCACGGUUUUUUUCGUCUACCAUUUUUGUCCGGGUUUUUUUCGUCUCGCCUCCCAUCACCACUAGCGCACUGGUUUUUCGGCAUCCCACUAAAAAUCACCCCGUGCGCUCGAUCCUUUUCUUAGGGUUGCCCGCCUCCACCGCCAAUGUCUUCCUCCUCCGCCGCCAUCUACCGCCUCCGCCGAGAUUCGAGCUCCCCCACUUGUGGGCCGGGGCCGCCGCCGCGGAACCCCGGGGCAAGGCAGGGUGUGGCCACGUUGCGAGCAGCGAGGAGCGGCGCAAGGUCGUGCCCUGCAUCGAGGAGGAGCUCAGGUAUUUUCAACCUCAUGUGCGUGCUAGCCUCAGACGCCGAUGCCCAGCUAGGGUUCUCACCCGCCGUCGCUUCCCUGUUGCUACCUCGCCACCCGAUGCCCUCCACGGACACCACCACCAUGAUGGCGGAAGGAAGAGCAAGAGGGGGUCGUCGAGGCUGGGUGCCGCUGUGAGGAUGUUGGCGCCUGUGCGCGGUGAUGGCAUUGUGGCGGAUGAUCAUCUUCCCGGGGAGCCACGUGAUGGCCGUCGUCUCCACCCACGGUCGCGCCAACAAGACAAGAUAAAUGCAAGUGUUCUAUUUGCGCAUUGUGACGACAAUUUUCUUGGAUAACAGACGAAGCGAGCUCGGACGAGUACGCGGGUGGGAUGACAGAUGAUAAACUUGAUACAGGCAUGUUGUUGACUGUCAUCCAACCGACGUGCCCAGACAGGCUACAUAUUGGCAUGAUGGGCUUCUAUGAUAAAAGGACAUUAGGCAACAUGUAAAUGCGCAUGGUUUGCUUCGAAACAUAAUUCAGUGUCCGCUGAUGUACUGGAAAAAAGCAUAUUAAGCUACAGGAAGAUGGAUUCUUCUUAGUUGUCACCAAGCAGGGCACCAUCUAUAAGUGUAUGUAAACAUUUCUAUGAACUCAAGUUAAUUGAUGUGGACUCAAGUGUCCUGAUAGAAGGAACAACCUCUCCAAAUUAGGUAAAGAAGAUGGCUGGUCAUCUGUUUGCAAAAUAUUUGCAAAAUUUAGUUGUUGCAUGCUACUUGCGUGUAUGAAAUAGAUAAUGCAAUUCGCAAUAUGUUAAUACUCCAUUGUCGAGUACAUAUAAUCAUUUCGCGGGCAUGACUAACCAUGCCCAUGACAAUAUCUGAAACUUACUGGUGUCAUUUCUCCUCCUGAAAUUAACAUUUUGUUUUGAGAUGUAGGAGUUUCCAUAAGGAUCCUCAUCAGCGAGCAGGAUAUUGAACAAAUUAAUUAUUUGAAUGCCAUGGGCCAACAUUGCAUGACCAUAAUACACAUAACGUUGUAGUGUGGGCUCAGAUGUUGAAUAGCAGUCUCUCUACAGUCACUUGUCUUCAUUUUUUGUUCCGCAACAUGAUUACCUGGAGCCCCCACUUGAUUUCCUCGUGAGCAUGACACUAGCUUCCACGUUUAUGUCGUGUUGAUUUAUCUACAGGCACCUGUCUUUGAUUUAAUAGCAACAACCCCCUUUUAAUAGUGUUGGUUUCUACUGUUAUAUGAUAUCUAGGGUCUUCACGAAUGCAUGCCUAUAACGUCUGAAAUAAGAAUUAUGUUGUGUGUUGAUCUUGUGGAGGUUUCAGAUGUCGUUCCGGUGGUGUGUAGGGCAACUGAAGAUGCUGGCAUUCGCUCUGUCCGUGUCACAAAUUUCAAGCGAGUUCCUUCGUUUGUUGUGUUCCAGGUGUUGCAUGAUUGUACAAAGAACAAUAUCAUUCCACUCUUAGGUUGUAUAAGUACAAGGGAACCAGUUUGCAGUUAUUUACUAUAGCAAACUCAACUAAUUCAUGUCUGUUUUGUGCAUGACGUGACACAAAGAUUCUGAUGUAUUCUGUAACUUGGGCAUGGUGCUCUGAUAAAUUGUUAUCUGUUGUAUUUGAGCCCCAAAAUUCUGCAGUAAUGCUAACAAUGCCUUAGAAAUUUGUUAGCUUUUAUGUGAAGCUGAUUGGCAGUAUACAGAAAUAGUUUUUAUGUGUUAUCUUAUUUGAGUUUCCUAACAUACAGAAAUGCCCUGGUCUAUUAUCUCCAAUCUGCAGUUGGUACUCCAUUGAUGCAGAGUAUGUUACAGCAGCUGGGCAUCAUCCUCCCUCAAUUGUGUGGGAAACAAAGACUUAAGUGAUGUUACUCAUGUUAUAGUAGAUGAAGUACAUGAACACACUAUUUUGGUAUGUACUUGCUCGUGUAUGUUUUUUUCUUUGUGUGCUAUGAAAUGUAUUGUUUCUCCUUAUAUGAUAGAUGAAGCACAUGGUUAAUCCUAAUUUGCCCCUUUCAGAGCAACUUUUUGCUGAUUGUUCUUAAGGUUCUUGUUGAAAACACUCUAAUCAACCAGGAAGAAAGUUGAAAGUGAUUCUCAUGUAGUGUCCAUUAUCUUAUAUAUUAUUUCUUUUCUUUUCAUAUUUGCAUUUUCUUAUUGCACCGAUUAUUAUGAGAUCUGUCAAUUUAUUUCUUGUUGCUUUAACUUCAUGUCCGCAACUAUUGAUUCAAGCCUAUUUGCACGAUACUUUGGAGAUUACCAUGUGAUUAGUGUUGAAGUAAGAACACACCCAGUUUCAAUUCACUUCUUUGAAGAUGUUUAUGAGAAAGUGGAGUAUUGUUUUGCUUUGGAUUCUCGUGCAUCAGGAGCAUACUUCAUACAACAUGGAGAAAAGGUUCCCUUUGUUCAAUUUUCAUUCUCAGUGAGUACACAUUGGUCAACCGUGGGAAACCCUUUUUUAGAACCUUACUGUUGGAGCAGCUAUUGUUGCUUUAUCUUGUUCAUUACAUCUUGUAAAUAUCCCAUAUUUUAAAACUAUAUAUUAUAUCUUGUAAAUAUCCCAUGUUUUCAAGUUAAAUACUCCAGUUUUCCAUCAUAUGAGAUUAUUACUACAGAACACAU